rnacentral:rRNA from 1 species
UUUGCAUAUCAAUAAGCGGAGGAAAAGAAACCAACAGGGAUUGCCUUAGUAACGGCGAGUGAAGCGGCAAAAGCUCAAUUUGAAAUCGCUUCGGCGAGUUGUAAGUAAAGUGGUUAGACGCUUUUUAAUAAGUCCCUUGGAACAGGGCGCCAUAGAGGGUGAUAGCCCCGUAUUAAAUUGUCUAGUGUGCUACUUUAGAGCGAGUCGAGUUGUUUGGGAAUGCAGCUCAAAUAGGUGGUAAACUCCAUCUAAAGCUAAAUAUUGCUGGGAGACCGAUAGCGAACAAGUACAGUGAUGGAAAGAUGAAAAGCACUUUGAAAAGAGAGUGAAAUAGCGUGUGAAAUUGUUGGAGGGGAAGGCGAUGGUAGGAAUAAGAGGCUGCGGUUUGAAAUAAAUGUUUUUCGGGCCACGGUCUCCUGAGCCUGCUUUCGCACCCGUCUUGAAACACGGAC